CGAGUCUUAAUUGGGCGUUAAGUUGCAGGGUAUAGACCCGAAACCCGGUGAUCUAGCCAUGGGCAGGUUGAAGGUUGGGUAACACUAACUGGAGGACCGAACCGACUAAUGUUGAAAAAUUAGCGGAUGACCUGUGGCUGGGGGUGAAAGGCCAAUCAAACCGGGAGAUAGCUGGUUCUCCCCGAAAGCUAUUUAGGUAGCGCCUCGUGAAUUCAUCUCCGGGGGUAGAGCACUGUUUCGGCUAGGGGGCCAUCCCGGCUUACCAACCCGAUGCAAACUGCGAAUACCGGAGAAUGUUAUCACGGGAGACACACGGCGGGUGCUAACGUCCGUCGUGAAGAGGGAAACAACCCAGACCGCCAGCUAAGGUCCCAAAGUCAUGGUUAAGUGGGAAACGAUGUGGGAAGGCCCAGACAGCCAGGAUGUUGGCUUAGAAGCAGCCAUCAUUUAAAGAAAGCGUAAUAGCUCACUGGUCGAGUCGGCCUGCGCGGAAGAUGUAACGGGGCUAAACCAUGCACCGAAGCUGCGGCAGCGAACGUAUCACCCAAGACAACUUUACGGAGUUGACGAUUGACGGAGCGAAGCGACGUCAAAGCGUUCAUUAAAGUCGAGUUGGCUUAGGGAUACGUUCGUUGGGUAGGGGAGCGUUCUGUAAGCCUGUGAAGGUGUGUCGUGAGGCAUGCUGGAGGUAUCAGAAGUGCGAAUGCUGACAUAAGUAACGAUAAAGCGGGUGAAAAGCCCGCUCGCCGGAAGACCAAGGGUUCCUGUCCAACGUUAAUCGGGGCAGGGUGAGUCGACCCCUAAGGCGAGGCCGAAAGGCGUAGUCGAUGGGAAACGGGUUAAUAUUCCCGUACUUGGUGUUACUGCGAAGGGGGGACGGAGAAGGCUAUGUUGGCCGGGCGACGGUUGUCCCGGUUUAAGCGUGUAGGUGUGUGUUCCAGGUAAAUCCGGUUCACUUUAACACUGAGGCGUGACGACGAGGCACUACGGUGCUGAAGCAACAAAUGCCCUGCUUCCAGGAAAAGCCUCUAAGCAUCAGGUAACAUCAAAUCGUACCCCAAACCGACACAGGUGGUCAGGUAGAGAAUACCAAGGCGCUUGAGAGAACUCGGGUGAAGGAACUAGGCAAAAUGGUGCCGUAACUUCGGGAGAAGGCACGCUGACACGUAGGUGAAGUGAUUUACUCAUGGAGCUGAAGUCAGUCGAAGAUACCAGCUGGCUGCAACUGUUUAUUAAAAACACAGCACUGUGCAAACACGAAAGUGGACGUAUACGGUGUGACGCCUGCCCGGUGCCGGAAGGUUAAUUGAUGGGGUCAGCGCAAGCGAAGCUCCUGAUCGAAGCCCCGGUAAACGGCGGCCGUAACUAUAACGGUCCUAAGGUAGCGAAAUUCCUUGUCGGGUAAGUUCCGACCUGCACGAAUGGCGUAAUGAUGGCCAGGCUGUCUCCACCCGAGACUCAGUGAAAUUGAACUCGCUGUGAAGAUGCAGUGUACCCGCGGCAAGACGGAAAGACCCCGUGAACCUUUACUAUAGCUUGACACUGAACAUUGAGCCUUGAUGUGUAGGAUAGGUGGGAGGCUUUGAAGUGUGGACGCCAGUCUGCAUGGAGCCGACCUUGAAAUACCACCCUUUAAUGUUUGAUGUUCUAACGUGGACCCGUUACCCGGGUUGCGGACAGUGUCUGGUGGGUAGUUUGACUGGGGCGGUCUCCUCCUAAAGAGUAACGGAGGAGCACGAAGGUUGGCUAAUCCUGGUCGGACAUCAGGAGGUUAGUGCAAUGGCAUAAGCCAGCUUGACUGCGAGCGUGACGGCGCGAGCAGGUGCGAAAGCAGGUCAUAGUGAUCCGGUGGUUCUGAAUGGAAGGGCCAUCGCUCAACGGAUAAAAGGUACUCCGGGGAUAACAGGCUGAUACCGCCCAAGAGUUCAUAUCGACGGCGGUGUUUGGCACCUCGAUGUCGGCUCAUCACAUCCUGGGGCUGAAGUAGGUCCCAAGGGUAUGGCUGUUCGCCAUUUAAAGUGGUACGCGAGCUGGGUUUAGAACGUCGUGAGACAGUUCGGUCCCUAUCUGCCGUGGGCGCUGGAGAACUGAGGGGGGCUGCUCCUAGUACGAGAGGACCGGAGUGGACGCAUCACUGGUGUUCGGGUUGUCAUGCCAAUGGCACUGCCCGGUAGCUAAAUGCGGAAGAGAUAAGUGCUGAAAGCAUCUAAGCACGAAACUUGCCCCGAGAUGAGUUCUCCCUGAGACUUAGAGUCUCCUGAAGGAACGUUGAAGACGACGACGUUGAUAGGCCGGGUGUGUAAGCGCAGCGAUGCGUUGAGCUAACCGGUACUAAUGAACCGUGAGGCUUAACCUUACA
rnacentral:rRNA from 1 species